CAUUCAGGUCUCUCUGUUUAACUAAAUAAUCUGUUUGUCUUUUGGCAGGAAAGAGACCAGACUCUGACAACGGGAAGAGUUCCUCAGAGGAAACAGACCCAGAGACGCCUAACCAACACCACUGCUCCCACUGUGGAAAGAGUUUUAGAUACCUUGUAACUGGAGAUUCCUUCAAAACGAUUGCCUACAGUUACCGUUUAGGGCACUGCAAGGUUAGGUGACCAGGGUCAUCUGGGACUGCCUCCUGGAGGAAUUCAGAUGUGUGAAGGCUACCCGUGUCCUGCGUAACUUCAUGAGGAUGGACACGAGGACCAGGAGGGGAUCUGCAGCUCGCCGCCGUGUCCCAGAGGAGGAGUCUGCUGCUCUGCAGGAUGUUUCAAGGAUGGGGUCCAACAACGCAGCAAGAGAGGCAAUCCGUGUGCAGGAGAUCUUCACCUCCUACUUCUUCAAAGAGGGUGCUGUUCCCUGGCAACACCAUAGACUACACUAUGCUCAACCAAAGGCUCUUUUAAGAGCCAUCCAAUAUUGAAAAAAUGUAGAACAAUUAGACACCCUAUAACCCACACACUCAUGUAUCAAUCUGAUUGAUGGAUUGUGUUGUGCAGUAAGCAGGCUCAGGUGUAUAAUUGUGGCUCCUUCCACCUUCAAAGAAUAGGCAAGAGGGCCAACCAUGGAGAAUAGUAAGACACUUCAUUAUUUCUAUAACUACGCUAUAUUGUUUGUCCUUGUGGGUCCGUUCAUGUUUUUCAGCAUAAAGUACUCUGCAGCCACUUAGUGUGGUGUGGACACCAGGUGAGGCCUCACACAGAUUCCUGUUGAACACUGUCGCUUUAACUACCUUCAUUGCUCAAUAACAGUCUCUCUCCUUCACUUCAUCCCUCUCUCCCCUUCUCCCUAAAUCCUCUAGGUUAUAUCAGCUGUGUCGGUGAACCCCUCCUGCAUCUGAACUGGCUACAUAGAGGGCACAGCAUGAUCAGAGAUAUGUUUUGAUGUGCGAGGAUGCCAACCCCCAGUCCCAUCAUAGCCACCUCACCUGCUUUUAAGAUAACCUUUAGGCCGACUAGAGACACUGUUAUGUAAUUGUGAUGAACUGAGAGAAUAUUUAUGUAGCACUGUGAUUCAUUAAUCAUGUGCUGCCUUCCCUGCUCCUAUGUGCUUACCUCUUUCCCUUUCUGUCUUUUACACCUCUCCACCUCCUCUUUCUUCCUCUGUUUUUAUAAUGCACAACAGAUUGAAGGACAUAUUGAACUUGUAUUUAUAACACUUGGAUAAUGAGCUUUUCAAUUAAGCGUUUCACAUUCUCUACUGGUUGAAAUGAAGUGUAAUGUGAUGAAAUACUCCACCUAUCCUGUGUUUAUCAGAUCAAUGCAGAUGAAGGGCAUUAGAUAUUGAGAUGAACCGGUGUUGGAGUAUUUACAUGAUGCAUAGGAAGUGUAGUGUUCUGGUUUUUAACAUUAUAUUUCUGUAUAUAUGAAUUAACUAGUUAAAUCCUGUUUCUAGUCUAUUAGUUACAAUGUGUAACCAUUGAUGUCCCAGGACCAAGAUUGGUAAACACUGUUGAAGUGUAGAAUUGUAAUACAUACAUGAAGACACAGCGUCAUUCAAAGACUGGAAUUUGAUACUCCUGGUAUUGGAUAUGACUGAAAAAUCAUCUCAAAGACAUUCAUACCUAAACUGCACCUUUAUUUGCCAAGGUACAGUACACGAUCAGUGAAUAUAUUAAAUGUACAGGCUACAAUGUGGGGAUCUCAUGCAUGGUGUAAGAAAUUGUAAUAGAGACUGGAAACUAGUAAUAACAACAUUUCAACAUAAGUCAUCUUUUAUACAUAAGUCAUAUUUUAUACAUAAAUACACAUACUCCUCAUUUCUCUUGGACAUAUGCUGGACUUAUUAAGACACCAACUACAGACACACAUAAUUCCCCUCCCCCAUGAUAACCACAGACACACACAACUCAUGGUUGGAGCUCAAGACAAAGAACUAUCUCAGGAACCAAUGGAACGUGGACACCAGGCCUGUUCAGGACUACCCAAGACCCAGAUCGACCAAUCGGAAGGCCAGACUUCCAGAUCAACCCACUUUGCUUGUUGUCUAUAUAAAACUGUACAACUGCUUAAACUACCUCUUUUCUGGACGAUUCUAUAAGAAUCAGACAGAAAGAGCCUUGCUGCAAGAUUUUACUAAGAUGUCUUUACAUGUGAUUAAACGGCCUUAUUAUAAAAUGA